UACGUAGGGUGCAAGCGUUGUCCGGAAUUCUUGGGCGUAAAGAGCUCGUAGGCGGUCUGUCGCGUCGGCUGUGAAAACUCGGGGCUCAACUCCGAGCUUGCAGUCGAUACGGGCAGGCUAGAGUUCGGCAGGGGAGACUGGAAUUCCUGGUGUAGCGGUGAAAUGCGCAGAUAUCAGGAGGAACACCGGUGGCGAAGGCGGGUCUCUGGGCCGAUACUGACGCUGAGGAGCGAAAGCGUGGGGAGCGAACAGG
rnacentral:rRNA from 1 species